UACACAAUCAUACCAAAACUCUGUCCUGAUAGUUUCCACUUUCUCUUUUGUAUCAGACAUACUGAGACAAUAUUCGGGAUAAAUAACCACGAAAACAAUCUAUUUAUUCAGUUUAGAGGUUUACACAUCACAUCAUUAUAAUCACAGAGCCAAUUUACUUAAAUCGUCCACUUGAUGGCGCAGUAGAGCAAAUGAAUCAUCACAAUGCUUCGAACCAUGAGUCGACCAGUUGGAUGGAAAGCUUCAGCUCAUCACGAGGCUUCAUCUCACCAUCACUAGUUUACACCUGCCAGCCUCGUGUGACGGGACGUGGGGGUGGCCUUGAGAUCUUGUACAACAGCAAGUACAAGGUAACCUCUCUUUCUGCUCCUGCCUACUCCUCGUUUGAAUCCAUGCUGAUUCAAAUUAAUGGACCAACCCCCACAGUAUUAGUUGCUGUUUACCGUCCACCUAAAAUCAACUCUGACUUUUUAACUGAUUUUUCUAACUUUCUCGCUGAAACCCUACUCUUAUCUCCAAAUAUACUACUGCUGGGCGAUUUUAACAUCCACAUGGACAACACAUCAAAUUCAGCCACAGGAGAUUUUAUAUCUUGUCUGGACAAUUUUGGCUUACACCAAUAUAUGGACGUUCCCACACACUCCAAAGGACACAUUUUGGAUCUUGUUUGCUGUAUCGGUGUCACCCCUAAAAACUGUGCUGUAUUGGACAUGCCUUUUUCAGACCAUAAAUUAGUUUUAUUCAAUGCUAGUCUCCCACUGUACAAAAAUGAACAAAACCGCUCAAUUACUUUUAGAAAUAUUAGGGGCAUUGAUCUAUCAGCUCUUUCCCAUGGCAUUAAUAACUUACCUACCAUUGAUGCCUCAGCUUCCAUAGACGACCUGGUAUCUCACUAUAACAAUGAACUUAUCAACCUCUUAGAUACCUUGGCUCCCCAAAAAACUCGAAAUGUUUCUUUCUCUCGCUCUGCGCCAUGGUACUCAUCUGAACUUCGCCAACUUAAAGCUACUGGACGCCGCCUAGAAUGUCUCUCCAGGAAAACAGGACUUACUAUUCAUAAGGACAUGUAUCUCAGCCAUAUACAACACUAUAAAGAAGCUAUUCAUCAUGCUAAAACUGCUUACUACACCUCUGUUAUUGAAUCUGCUGAAGGAAACACUCACACUUUGUUUUCUACAUUGCAUAAUAUUGUUAAACCCCCAGAUACCUUUGUCAUACAUAGACACUCUGCUGCAGUUUGCAACAAAUUUAUGGACUUUUUUUACACCAAGAUUGAGAAUCUCCAUCAACAAUUGCC
rnacentral:lncRNA from 1 species